GCGGCGCUCUGACCACCUCAGACCUGCUAAGUUUCCUUUUAUGGCAAACACAUUUUUCUUGAUGUAAAUCUUUGUAUGUGCUUCACUACUUUGAAGCUCUUCAUUACUUAUUACUUUAGGUUUGGUUUACAUCUUCAUGGCAUGUGUUUUAAGGUAUUGUACCCUCUUACAGUUGAGAAUACCUCUUCUAGUACUGGAGCCUUUAAUGAAGCCGUCUAAGGUACAGAGCAGACAGUAUCUCUUCAGGAAGCUAAGAUUCUUCAAGGUUUGCACCAAGCUGGAGAUUUUUUAUCAGUCUGUUGUUGAGAGCAUCAUCUCCUCUUCUGCCAUCAUCUGCUGGGGAAGCAGCAUCAGAACCAGGGACCUAAAAAGGCUCUACAACCUGAUAAAGAAGGCUGGUUCUGAGAACAACUGUGGAACCUCUGGAGAUGAUUAUGCAAAAAAGGAUUCUUCGUAGGAUCAAGAAAAUUAUGGACAACCUUGACUAUCCUCUUCAUGAAACAGUCUUGGGAAAGCAGAGCAUCUUCAGUCAGCAGCUUCUUCAGAUUCAGUGUGGUACAGACAGCUGCAGAAGAUCUUUCCUGCCAUCAACUUCUGUUAGACUGCCUCAUGGCAAUCUGCCCUUGGCUACUAUCCAGAAGCUUGCUAUCUUCACCUUCCUCAAUGUCCUCCAGAGGGAGCCAAUAGACUGUAGAGGAUGGACCUGCUGUACAUCUGGCACACCUGCGAUUCAUCCGGGCUCAUCAGUCAGAGGAUAAAAGGAGAUGUUGUCUAACCCUCGACUCCCGAGUGUUUCUUCUGAAGAAGUUCCUGGAUUCCUCUCUUCAAAUUUCUCUGGUCUUUACCUCCGGAUCACAUACCACAGCUGGCAACAUCCAACUCCUCUUCCUCAUACCUGCAAACCUGUCCGUCCUCCACCGGUUGUCCCUUUGGACAAUCUCAAGAUCUUCCCGACGCUAAGACUCUUCCCUACACAGGCCUGUUCCAGCCUCAGUCAGCCUUCUCCCCCCACAGAUUUUUUUUUCUGCGCCACCAUACCAUCCCAAACUCCUGGCUCCCCGGUCUCCCAGACUGAAGACUCUCAUUCAUAAUCACUUUUGUACAAUACACUUAUCUUUUAUCACCUACCUACUGAGUGUGUUCUGCAUGUGGGCAAAGAAACUACCCAAAACAUUGACAUAAAUGUUUUGACACAAAAUCAAACAUUGCUUAGAGCAACAUGUAACUCACAGGUUUGCAUAACAUUGAUCCUAUAUUGUAUUGUAUUAAAAGUAGAGAAAAAGAAAACACUACUUCAAAUGACUGACACAAAAAGAGAGCCAAGACCCCCCAUGUUGACUGCAGAGAAGCUCAGAUCAGAUGGGAGGAUCAGGAACACAGCAAACAUGGAAGAAGGUGCUCUCAUCAACUGAAACUAUUAACUGGACUUUUGGUCUUGUAAAGGCUAUGUGAGGCAGAAAUAAAGAAAAACCACCUGUGGGAGAAUCAUGCUGUACAGACGAGAUGGUCAUGAUGAUCAUGUCAGAGGCUACUAAAAACUGGGGCAGAGGUUCUUCUUCUACUAUUAUAAUGAUAGCAAGAAUUAAAAACAGAUGCUAUCCAUUCAAUCUGAGAUUUAGCAAAGAAGAAUGUCCAUCUUUUUAUAUAUCGGCAGAAAUCUUAACACCAGAACAGGAGCAUUUUUGGCUGACAAGUUCAAAAUUAAAAGAUUUUCUGUGUAGUGCAUGGAA